rnacentral:rRNA from 1 species
UACGGAGGGUGCAAGCGUUAUCCGGAUUCACUGGGUUUAAAGGGAGCGUAGGUGGGUUGGUAAGUCAGUGGUGAAAUCUCCGAGCUUAACUUGGAAACUGCCAUUGAUACUCUCAAUCUUGAAUACUGUGGAGGUAAGCGGAAUAUAUCAUGUAGCGGUGAAAUGCUUAGAUAUGAUAUAGAACACCGAUAGCGAAGGCAGCUUACUACGCAGUUAUUGACACUGAGGCUCGAAAGCGUGGGGAGCAAACAGG